CUACGGGUUGCAGCAGUAAGGAAUAUUGCGCAAUGGAGGCAACUCUGACGCAGCCAUGCCGCGUGCAGGACUGAAGGCCUUAUGGGUCGUAAACUGCUUUUAUUUAGGAAUAAACUUUCGUACGUGUACGAGACUGAAGGUACUAAAUGAAUAAGCACCGGCUAACUCCGUGCCAGCAGCCGCGGUAAUACGGAGGGUGCAAGCGUUAUCCGGAUUUAUUUGGUUUAAAGGGUGCGCAGGCGGACUAUUAAGUCAGAGGUGAAAUCCCGGAGCUCAACUUCGGAACUGCCUUUGAUACUGGUAGUCUUGAAUACGGUUGAAGUAGGCGGAAUGUAGCAUGUAGCGGUGAAAUGCAUAGAGAUGCUACAGAACACCGAUCGCGAAGGCAGCUUACUAAGCCGAUAUUGACGCUCAGGCACGAAAGCAUGGGGAGCGAACAGGAUUAGAUACCCGCGUAGUC
rnacentral:rRNA from 1 species